UAGGGAAUCUUCCACAAUGGGCGAAAGCUUGAUGGAGCAACGCCGCGUGUGUGAUGAAGGCUUUCGGGUCGUAAAGCACUGUUGUAUGGGAAGAACAGCUAGAAUAGGAAAUGAUUUUAGUUUGACGGUACCAUACCAGAAAGGGACGGCUAAAUACGUACCAG
rnacentral:rRNA from 1 species